rnacentral:rRNA from 1 species
ACGGGAGGCAGCAGUGAGGAAUAUUGGUCAAUGGACGGAAGUCUGAACCAGCCAAGUCGCGUGCGGGACGAAGGCCCUACGGGUCGUAAACCGCUUUUGUACGGGGAUAAAGUCACCCACGUGUGGGUGUUUGUAGGUACCGUAAGAAUAAGGAUCGGCUAACUCCGUGCCAGCAGCCGCGGUAAUACGGAGGAUCCGAGCGUUAUCCGGAUUUAUUGGGUUUAAAGGGUGCGCAGGCGGUCUUUUAAGUCAGUGGUUAAAUAGUGAGGCUCAACCUCAUCCCGCCAUUGAUACUGGGAGACUUGAUUGCUGUCGAGGUUGGCGGAAUUCGCCGUGUAGCGGUGAAAUGCAUAGAUAUGGCGAAGAACUCCGAUUGCGUAGGCAGCUGACCAGGCCGUAAAUGACGCUCAUGCACGAAAGUGCGGGGAUCGAACAGGAUUAGAUACCCUGGUA